rnacentral:tRNA from 1 species
GUGCCACUAGCUCAAUUGGUAGAGCACACGACUUUUAAUCGUGGGGUUACGGGUUCAAACCCCGUGUGACACA